AAAGUUCCUAAUGAUACAAUAUACUUUGAUGUCCCAAAAGUACUUUUUCAAGAGGCAACUGUCUGGUUUUUCUUUGAAGAUGUUUCGCAGAAAGUCCAGUUGCCUCUUUAAAAAAUACUUUUGGGACAACCAGGACCUGGAUGACUGAGAAUCUCUGUUUAAUAUCCUUUCAAAAUCUGCUCUCCAAAAGAACCAUAGAGUUGUUUGGGAAAUCUUUGUUGUUUUUGUUGGCAAAAUUCCUAAUAUGGUGCUAAUAUCCUGGGAAAUAGCAUUUUUUAAAAAAGACACUGUAUUAUUAAUGCUCCAGAGAAGAAAACUUGCUAUUUGGACAUUCAGGAUACAGCUCAGGGAGACACAAAACAAAACCCAACCAGAGACUUAUUUUUACAAUUCUAAAACCAUAUAGGUUUAAACUGAUGUCUUCAAACAGUCAGACAACAAACUUUCACAUUUUAACAUAAAAAGAAUUUUGAAUACAUCAAAAAUCUGACAUCAAGCAGGACUAUCACUUGGUUAAGUCCAUUUGACUGAUUUUUUUUUCAUUUGUUUGUAUGCUUUUUACUGCACAGGAACAACAUUUGAAGAAUCAGGACAGGUGUAAGAAAGUAUACUAGCUUGGAAAUGUGCUUGACGGACUCCCACAAAACCUGAAGACUGCAAAAUGAUCAGCUGAGGUAGGCAGCACCAAGAGAAAAUAGAAUGAGAUUCUUUUAGAGUCAUAAGAAAAGACUUGAAAUCUGAGCAGAGCACCUCUCUUUACUUCCAGUAACAAGAAAAGACUAGGAGCAACGUGGCACCUUGCAGGCUUGCUGGAUGAGAGUUUUCAAAGGGUGACUGAAAAAGGAAGGGCUAAAACUUCUGGGGCUAGUUAUGGCGCGCCUUUCCCCUCAGAGGAGCAACAGUGGCUUACCUGGGAAUGAAGCCCGCCUCCUCCCCGAGCCGAAGCUCAAAUUCCUGCCAGGCCUGGCUGGGACCCGCCGCCGCCAUCCCGGCGAAAGCACCGAAAGCGUGGCUCUCUUCCCCGGAGAGCUCCCAGCAGUUGUUCCGCGGUUGAGCGACACCGCGAAACCCCCGAACGAACUCGUGGAAGGUGAUGGCGCCGUCUCGGUCGGUGUC